GGCAAACGGGUGAGUAACGCGUAGGCAACCUGCCCUCAGGAUGGGGACAACGGCUCGAAAGAGCCGCUAAUACCGAAUGACGUAACUUUUCCACAUGGAAGAGAUACUAAAGAUGGGUCAAACCAUCGCCCGAGGAUGGGCCUGCGUCUGAUUAGCCAGUUGGUGAGGUAACGGCUCACCAAAGCAACGAUCAGUAGCCAGUCUGAGAGGAUGAACGGCCACAAUGGGACUGAGACACGGCCCAUACUCC
rnacentral:rRNA from 1 species